rnacentral:misc_RNA from 1 species
CAACCCUCAAGCCCGCUGCGCGCUUGGUGUUGGGGGCCGGCUCACCCGCCUCGCGGCGGCGGCCGCCCCUGAAAUGAAUCGGCGGUCUCGUCGCAGCCUCCUUUGCGUAGUAACACACCACCUCGCAACCGGGAGCGCGGCGCGGCCACUGCCGUAAAACGCCCAACUUCUCCAAG